rnacentral:rRNA from 1 species
GGGAAUGCAGCUCUCAAUGGGAGGUAAAUUUCUUCUAUAGCUGAAUACCGGCCAGAGACCGAUAGCGCACAAGUAGAGUGAUCGCGAGAUGACAAGCACUUUGGAAAGAGAGUUAAAUAGUACGUGAUAUUGUUGAAAGGUAAGCGCUUGCAGCCAGACUUGUCCGCAGUUGCUCAGCCGGUCUCCUGACCGGUGUACUCUUCUGCGGCCAGGCCAGCAUCAGUUCGGGCGGUCGGAUAAAGAUCUCGGGAAUGUAGCUCCUCUCGGCGAGUGUUAUAGCCCGGCGUGGAAUGCGGCCAGCCUGGACUGAGGAUCUCUCUUCGGU